rnacentral:rRNA from 1 species
GCCUAACACAUGCAAGUCGAACGGUAACAUUUCUAGCUUGCUAGAAGAUGACGAGUGGCGGACGGGUGAGUAAUGCUUGGGAACUUGCCUUUGCGAGGGGGAUAACAGUUGGAAACGACUGCUAAUACCGCAUAAUGUCUUCGGACCAAACGGGGCUUCGGCUCCGGCGCAAAGAGAGGCCCAAGUGAGAUUAGCUAGUUGGUAAGGUAACGGCUUACCAAGGCGACGAUCUCUAGCUGUUCUGAGAGGAAGAUCAGCCACACUGGGACUGAGACACGGCCCAGACUCCUACGGGAGGCAGCAGUGGGGAAUAUUGCACAAUGGGGGAAACCCUGAUGCAGCCAUGCCGCGUGUGUGAAGAAGGCCUUCGGGUUGUAAAGCACUUUCAGUUGUGAGGAAAGGUUGGUAGUUAAUACCUGCCAGCUGUGACGUUAACAACAGAAGAAGCACCGGCUAACUCCGUGCCAGCAGCCGCGGUAAUACGGAGGGUGCGAGCGUUAAUCGGAAUUACUGGGCGUAAAGCGCACGCAGGCGGCUUGUUAAGCUAGAGGUGAAAGCCCCGCGCUCAACGUGGGAACUGCCUUUAGAACUGGCAGGCUAGAGUCUUGGAGAGGGGAGUGGAAUUCCAGGUGUAGCGGUGAAAUGCGUAGAUAUCUGGAGGAACAUCAGUGGCGAAGGCGGCUCCCUGGCCAAAGACUGACGCUCAUGUGCGAAAGUGUGGGUAGCGAACAGGAUUAGAUACCCUGGUAGUCCACACCGUAAACGCUGUCUACUAGCUGUUUGUGUAUUUAAUACGUGAGUAGCG